GACGAACGCUGGCGGCGCGCCUAACACAUGCAAGUCGAACGAGCGAGAGAGAGCUUGCUUUCUCGAGCGAGUGGCGAACGCGUGAGUAACGCGUGAGGAACCUGCCUCAAAGAGGGGGACAACAGUUGGAAACGACUGCUAAUACCGCAUAAGCCCACGGGUCGGCAUCGACCAGAGGGAAAAGGAGCAAUCCGCUUUGAGAUGGCCUCGCGUCCGAUUAGCUAGUUGGUGAGGUAACGGCCCACCAAGGCAACGAUCGGUAGCCGGACUGAGAGGUUGAACGGCCACAUUGGGACUGAGACACGGCCCAGACUCCUACGGGAGGCAGCAGUGGGGAAUAUUGCACAAUGGGGGAAACCCUGAUGCAGCGACGCCGCGUGGAGGAAGAAGGUCUUCGGAUUGUAAACUCCUGUUGUUGAGGAAGAUAAUGACGGUACUCAACAAGGAAGUGACGGCUAACUACGUGCCAGCCGCCGCCGUAAAAC
rnacentral:rRNA from 1 species